GAAAAUCGGCCGAAUAGCUCUUUUAAUUGUAGAAAAAAUCGAUUACAAUCAAAAUAGGAUUACAUCUUUAACCUUUUCAAUUUGAAAUGCAUCAAUAAUUUCUUAAUUAUUUCAUUCGUUAGCUGCAUUAGAAUAAACGCUCGAGAUUAAUUAUUCAUCCUCUAUAUCAAAAUCCACGAGAAUUCUACCACUUAACCUUAAUCUCCUAUGACGCUCUCUGAUGUUGGCCUAACAUCCAAGCCACUUCUAUCUAAAGCGAAGGCCCCCACCAAAGCAAGCAAAUGAUCAACCUCUGCCCAGACUACUACUCCACCAUGACCACCACCAUCUCCCAGGAAAAGUGAGUCUGAUAGCAGUUCAGACUCUGAUGUGGAGGAGUUCCAAAAGAGCAAUUAAGAAAUGAAGGAAUUAAAGAAUAAAAUAAAGAGGGAGCUAUGGAAGGAGUGAAGGAUUUUACCGUCUCAAUAACAAAAGAGAAUGGUUUUUAUUUUGGGAUUGAAACUGACGUGAAGAUGUAAAUAAAAAUAUUGGAAUGUUGAGUUGAGGAGUAGGCAGUACGUGGCUUUCUUGUUUACCAACCUAUUGAAUAAAAUAAGAUAUGGAUUUGAUUGGUUUUGAUUGCA